AACGAACGCUGGCGGCAGGCCUAACACAUGCAAGUCGAACGCUGCAGCAAUGCAGAGUGGCAGACGGGUGAGUAACGCGUGGGAACCUUCCCAAUGGUACGGAAUAGCCCAGGGAAACUAGGGGUAAUACCGUAUAAGCCCCAUGGGGGAAAGAUUUAUCGCCAUUGGAUGGGCCCGCGUCGGAUUAGCUAGUUGGUGAGGUAACGGCUCACCAAGGCGACGAUCCGUAGCUGGUUUGAGAGAAUGACCAGCCACGCUGGGACUGAGACGCGGCCCAGACUCCUACGGGAGGCAGCAGUGGGGAAUCUUGGACGAUGGGCGAAAGCCUGAUCCAGCCAUGCCGCGUGAGUGACGAAGGCCUUAGGGUUGUAAAGCUCUUUUGGCGAGGACGAUAAUGACGGUACCCGCAGAAUAAGUCCCGGCUAACUUCGUGCCAGCCGCCGCCGUAA
rnacentral:rRNA from 1 species